CCUACGGGGGGCAGCAGUGAGGAAUAUUGGUCAAUGGACGAGAGUCUGAACCAGCCAAGUAGCGUGAAGGAUGACUGCCCUAUGGGUUGUAAACUUCUUUUAUAUGGGAAUAAAAUGUUCCACGUGUGGGAUUUUGUAUGUACCAUAUGAAUAAGGAUCGGCUAAUUCCGUGCCAGCAGCCGCGGUAAUACGGAGGAUCCGAGCGUUAUCCGGAUUUAUUGGGUUUAAAGGGAGCGUAGGUGGAUUGUUAAGUCAGUUGUGAAAGUUUGCGGAUCAACCGUAAAAUUGCAGUUGAAACUGGCAGUCUUGAGUACAGUAGAGGUGGGCGGAAUUCGUGGUGUAGCGGUGAAAUGCUUAGAUAUCACGAAGAACUCCGAUUGCGAAGGCAGUUCACUGGACUGCAACUGACACUGAGGCUCGAAAGUGUGGGUAUCAAACAGGAUUAGAUACCCCUGUAGUC
rnacentral:rRNA from 1 species